rnacentral:tRNA from 1 species
CGGAGAGAGGUCUGCCCGACAGAAAGUGGUUGCUACCCGCUCCUCCCCAGGUUGAAUUCCUAGGCUCCCCU